GAUGAACGCUGGCGGCGUGCCUAAUACAUGCAAGUCGAGCGAACAGACGAGGAGCUUGCUCCUCUGACGUUAGCGGCGGACGGGUGAGUAACACGUGGAUAACCUACCUAUAAGUCUGGGAUAACUUCGGGAAACCGGAGCUAAUACCGGAUAAUAUAUUGAACCGCAUGGUUCAAUAGUGAAAGACGGUUUUGCUGUCACUUAUAGAUGGAUCCGCGCCGCAUUAGCUAGUUGGUAAGAUAACGGCUUACCAAGGCAACGAUGCGUAGCCGACCUGAGGGGGUGAUCGGCCACACUGGAACUGAGACACGGUCCAGACUCCUACGGGAGGCAGCAGUAGGGAAUCUUCCGCAAUGGGCGAAAGCUUGACGGAGCAACGCCGCGUGAGUGAUGAAGGUCUUUGGAUCGUAAAACUCUGUUAUUAGGGAAGAACAAAUGUGUAAGUAACUAUGCACGUCUUGACGGUACCUAAUCAGAAAGCCACGGCUAACUACGUG
rnacentral:rRNA from 1 species